GAUGAACGCUGGCGGCGUGCCUAAUACAUGCAAGUCGAGCGAACAGACGAGGAGCUUGCUCCUCUGACGUUAGCGGCGGACGGGUGAGUAACACGUGGAUAACCUACCUAUAAGACUGGGAUAACUUCGGGAAACCGGAGCUAAUACCGGAUAAUAUAUUGAACCGCAUGGUUCAAUAGUGAAAGACGGUUUUGCUGUCACUUAUAGAUGGAUCCGCGCCGCAUUAGCUAGUUGGUAAGGUAACGGCUUACCAAGGCGACGAUGCGUAGCCGACCUGAGAGGGUGAUCGGCCACACUGGAACUGAGACACGGUCCAGACUCCUACGGGAGGCAGCAGUAGGGAAUCUUCCGCAGUGGGCGAAAGCCUGACGGAGCAACGCCGCGUGAGUGAUGAAGGUCUUCGGAUCGUAAAACUCUGUUAUUAGGGAAGAGCAAAUGUGUAAGUAACUAUGCACGUCUGGACGGUACCUAAUCAGAAAGCCACGGCUAACUACGU
rnacentral:rRNA from 1 species